UAUAGUUGACAAUAAUUACUUCUUGAGGACUGUUGGGAGACUUAAACAAGAUGAUGUCUUCAGCACAGUGUUUACAAAGUGCCUGGCUAAUACAGCUAGUGGAUGAGUCACAGCCUGUACCACCCAGGAGUGGGUGGGAGGCAUAAACAGAGGUGGAGACCAGCGUUCGAGCUGGUUGUCAGGGCUGCCAGUGAGUUUCCAGAGGAGACCAACAGCAAAACAGUGCAUACAAUAAGCCAAAUGCAGAAAUAAUAGGAGCCGUGAAGUCCAUUCAGAGAGUACCAAACCAUGAUCAGGUUCCUCCUCUGGAGAUGGGCUGCGUUUUACCCAUUCACAAAGGAUACCCCAGCCUUGUAAACCCAGGUUCUUUAAUCUCUUAUUGCUUCAAGGGGAAAACACUGAAGAGGCUGAUUCAAGAACUACCAUGAGUCUCGAUGGAUAAAAUGGAAGCGUCCAUGGUUGCCCAACAAAGUGCAGAUGCCAUGUUCUGAGAGCAGCGGACUCAUCUUCUCAGUUCAAGACUGAGGCUAGCACAAGGCAAAGCUUAAAGUCUGUCCAGUAUAAUCUACUUGUGUCAAACAUCAAGGACACUGAUGUGAUUUGACUUGGCCUGAGUGGCUGAGUCUCCUUUCCUGCUUACUCCUCAUCGGUGCUUUGCUUCUGUGUUUGGAAACAAAUACCACAAGAAUGCAGAAUUUUAGCCAAGAUCAUUUGUCUCCAUUGUCCUCAUUGAUUCCAAAGAUCAUUUGUCUCCUCACAGCGCUACACGUGUCCCAGAAAUCAAGUCUCUCCCUUGGAACUAAUAAAAUUCUCAUUUGUGUAA